AUACGUAGGUGGCAAGCGUUGUCCGGCUUUACUGGGUGUAAAGGGCGUGUAGGCGGAGAUGCAAGUCAGGAGUGAAAUCUAGGGGCUCAACCCCUAAACUGCUUUUGAAACUGUAUCCCUUGAGUAUCGGAGAGGCAGGCGGAAUUCCUAAUGUAGCGGUGAAAUGCGUAGAUAUUUGGAGGAACACCAGUGGCGAAGGCGUCCUGCUGGUCGACAACUGACGCUGAGGCGCGAAAGCGUUAGGAGCAAACAGGAUUUGAUGCCCUGGUAGUCCACGCUGUAAACGAUGAAUACUAGGUGUGGGGGGACUGACCCCCUCCGUGCCGCAGUUAACACAAUAAGUAUUCCACCUGGGGAGUACGAUCGCAAGAUUGAAACUCAAAUGAAUUGACGGGG
rnacentral:rRNA from 1 species